rfam:Tetranychus urticae London genomic scaffold, scaffold_8
GCGUCAGUGGUAUAACGGUUAGCAUAGUUGCCUUCCAAGCAAUUGAUCCGGGUUCGACUCCCGGCUGACGCA